AACGAACGCUGGCGGCAUGCUUAACACAUGCAAGUCGAACGAGACGUUCGGGCUUUGUGGCGCUCGGGUGCGUGACGCGUGGGAACUUGCCCUUAGGUUCGGAAUCACUCCCCGUAAGGGGUCUUAAUACAGCUUAAUGUCAUCGCACAAAAGAUUUAUCGCUUUAGGAUGGGCCCGCGUUGGAUUAGCUGGUUGGUAGUGUACAAGCCUACCAACGCGACGAUCCAUAGCUGGUCGGUUACGAGGAUCAACCACACUGGGACUGAGACACGGCCCAGCCUCCGACGGAGGGCAGCAGUGGAGAAUAUUAGGCGAUGGACGAAAGUCUAAUCCAGCAAUGCCGCGGGUGUGAUGAAGGCCUUAGGAUUGUAAAUCUCUUUGACCCGGAGUGUUAAUGACAGUACUGGGAGAAUAAGCUCCGGCUAACUCCGUG
rnacentral:rRNA from 1 species